rnacentral:rRNA from 1 species
UAUGUAGGGUGCGAGCGUUGUCCGGAAUUAUUGGGCGUAAAGCGCGCGCAGGCGGUCCUUUAAGUCUGAUGUGAAAGCCCACGGCUCAACCGUGGAGGGUCAUUGGAAACUGGGGGACUUGAGUGCAGAAGAGAAGAGUGGAAUUCCACGUGUAGCGGUGAAAUGCGUAGAGAUGUGGAGGAACACCAGUGGCGAAGGCGACUCUUUGGUCUGUAACUGACGCUGAGGCGCGAAAGCGUGGGGAGCAAACAGG